rnacentral:siRNA from 1 species
UGAGCUUCCUAGUGAUCGAGUA